UCUGAGAAUAGACUCGCAGGAAAAGUCCAUUCUGGAGUCAGGGAAUUCCUGGCAGGGUGCGGAGGCUCACUCACUGAGAGAAGCCCAGAGUGCAUUCAGUAAGUGACAUUUUCCCCUGACUGACAACAAGUUACAAGGCUGAUUUCUGGGAAGUGAUAAACUCAUAUCGUGGGUGCUGGGAUCUGUUCAUCCAUGGGAAAAAUCAACCAGCUCUCAAGCAUUUGAUUUUCUCCUGAGAGUGAUGUCAACAGACUCUCUACCUUAGAAUGGGUCUCGAAUGCCAGCUCCACAGGAGGUUGUCCUGAUUGAUUGCAGGAUGGUGCGGACUAGAGCAGAAGCUUCCUCCUCUGCUGAAGCAGGGUGGCAGGGCAUCUGAUAGCAUUUGCCACAACAUCGCUUCUGAUUCAUCAGGUUGCUUUCUCUGGGAGAGAAAUCUGCCUUGAAUGGAGUUAUCCUAAACUCCGACGCCCAAUGCAAGUAAACUCUUCAGAAAGUGGGUGCCGCUCCGGGAAAGCCAGGCUUUUUUGUGCUGGGAAACACACUUUGUGAGAAGAAAAUGGCUGCAGAACAAAGACAAGAAAGCAAGAAAAAGAAAAGCUAAAGGAAUUCUACUUCCUGUGCUCAGGGGUUGGGGAAGCCUGUGGAAAUGCUCUGUAGGUUUCUCAUCGAGGCGAUUUUAUGUCAGGGCAAAUACAUAAUUGUUGGGCUCUCCUAGGCCCAGGCUUGACGCUAUUUCUACCACCUAUUAGCUGCGUGACCUUACAGAGAGCUGUAAAUGCUCUGAGCUUCUGUUUCCUCAUUUGUUAAAGGGGGAAAAUAAUAACUACCCCAACUCUUAGGGUUUUUAUAGGAUGGGAUCCUGUGCCAAGAUGCCUAUGCCUCCUCCUUUUGGGGUUUGAAUGAAUGUUAAAGUCUUCACCCAUCAGGCAAACCCAAACAACAGUAACAAAAGGCAUAUGUAGUCUGACAAAGACUAUUUUAGAAAAUGGUUCUAAAUACAUUUGUAGGAAAAGUCUUAUAGAGGUACACAGAUGAACACACAUUGAACAUGUUAUUUUUAUCAAAAAUAACAAGAGUUUUACAAAACAUUCAGAGAUCCAGGACACAUAGGGCUUCCCAGCCCACAUGGACCACUCUUCUCAUGCUGUGGCCAUGUGUGCUCAGACGAAUGUCUCAGACAUAAGUGAGCCAGCCUUCACCUUUAGCAGAGCCAAACUGGGGUGCAACCAGGCCCUGGGCAUUUAUACCUGAAAAUCUUGCCUAGCUUCAGGGAAGAGGCAGCAAUCAGAACAGGUUCAGGCUCUUUGGCAGGGCUCGCCAGCCUCCAGGUUGAAGUCUUUUUCCUCUUGCUUCCCAGUCCCCACUUCUCAGCCAGUUGCUGCUGUCUUCCAUUUGUGACCCUCUGCCUUCUUGCCUGGAAUGUCCCCUUCCUUCUCUGUACUUGACCUUAGCUCUGCCCCUUGGAAUACUGCUGCCUCUGGUCCUUUGAGAACUCUGUCUCCUCCAUUCAAGGAGAGGAAUCAAAUAAUCAAGGGGUUGUGUAUCCCUGAAAAGAAAAAAAAAAGCAUGUUGCUUUCUGCAUUGAUCACAGGUCAGCACCUUUUCUUUCAUAAAAUGGAUGAAGCACAGGUCCAAAACCAAAGGAGCCCAGAGAAGCAGCAGGUUCUGUAAAAGGCAGAGUCCCUCCUGGCCCCAGAAUAUUCACAGCUAAGCCACCAAGAUGCCUGCCAAGCAACGGAGUAUUUUUUAAUCGUUAUUUCUCUCUUAUAGGUGGGGGGAAAGAGUCAUUUGUAGCCUGGCAACAGAGAUCGGCGUGUUCUCCCUUCAUGCCAAGCUGUAAACACAGCCUUCCCUAUGUUCAGCCUAAUGAUGCUAAAAGGCCGGUGACCAGGAGAAAUUAGGGUGAUGGUGUUGAUGGUUGCAGGCGUGGGUGGUGCAAACAGGACAGUAGUGAGUGUCGCAGAAUUGGCACUGUGACCCAGGGGCUUUCAGUAGAACCCAAGAGCUCAUUGGAAGAGUCCGAGAUGAAGGGCAAGGAGUUCCUUCUAGACACAAGGCUGUUUCCUGCACUGGUCAGGGAUGAGGUCCUGGAGUCCAGUGCAGGGGAAGUGUGCUAUGGGGAAGGGCUGUAGGUGGUGGGGACAGCCUUGCUGCUCCCUCCUGGGGCACCCUCACUGGUCCCUGCUGGUGCCACCUCCUACCUGUCCCCCAUGUACCUCUCCUCUGUGUUUUCCUCUGGUCCAGGCGCAAACUCUUCUCAGUGUGCCACAGCAGGCUUGAAUGGGUCCAAGGAACAUGUUCUUGAAACAAAGGUAAAAACAGGCCAGAAACACUAACUCAGGUGAGUGUACC